rnacentral:lncRNA from 1 species
GUCUCUCUCUUCUCUCUUCUCUGUGUUGUGCAGCAGUCCCAGACUUGAUGACUCCAGUCAGAUGUUGGUCCUGGUCUCAACCUGAGUGGUCUGGGAGGACUGAUGCCUACCACACAGUCAGGUAACACAGACCGCCUACCACACAGUCAGGUAACCACAGACUGCCUACCACAACAGUCAGGUAACAGACUGCUACCACACAGUCA